GGUGGCGUGCUGCUCAGCCCCUUUUUGAUUUACGCGGUGCUGGCGCUGCUAUUGACCGGCUUGCUGCGGUGGCUGUUGCAGCGUGUGGGGUUUACCCGCUGGAUCUGGCACGAAGCACUGUUUGAUUUCGCAUUA
rfam:Vibrio sp. J237 Contig_5, whole genome shotgun sequence.